rnacentral:tRNA from 1 species
GCAUCUGUAGCUCAGAUUGGUCAGAGCGCGGGAGUGAAACCCCCGAGGUCGCUUGUUCGAGGCAAGCCGGGUGCACCA